rnacentral:rRNA from 1 species
UACGAAGGGGGGCUAGCGUUGCUCGGAAUUACUGGGCGUAAAGCGCACGUAGGCGGCUUUCUAAGUCGGGGGUGAAAUCCUGGAGCUCAACUCCAGAACUGCCCUUCGAUACUGGAAAGCUCGAGUCCGGGGAGAGGUGAGUGGAACUGCGAGUGUAGAGGUGAAAUUCGUAGAUAUUCGCAAGAACACCAGUGGCGAAGGCGGCUCACUGGCCCGGUACUGACGCUGAGGUGCGAAAGCGUGGGGGAGCAAACAGG